rnacentral:rRNA from 1 species
GAUGAACGCUGGCGGCGUGCUUAACACAUGCAAGUCGAACGAAGCGCUUUGGACAGAUUCUUCGGAUGAAGUCCUUGGUGACUGAGUGGCGGACGGGUGAGUAACGCGUGGGUAACCUGCCUCAUACAGGGGGAUAACAGUUAGAAAUGGCUGCUAAUACCGCAUAAGCGCACGGUACUGCAUGGUACAGUGUGAAAAACUCCGGUGGUAUGAGAUGGACCCGCGUUGGAUUAGCUAGUUGGCAGGGUAACGGCCUACCAAGGCGACGAUCCAUAGCCGGCCUGAGAGGGUGGACGGCCACAUUGGGACUGAGACACGGCCCAGACUCCUACGGGAGGCAGCAGUGGGGAAUAUUGCACAAUGGGGGAAACCCUGAUGCAGCGACGCCGCGUGAGCGAAGAAGUAUUUCGGUAUGUAAAGCUCUAUCAGCAGGGAAGAAAAUGACGGUAC